ensembl:lncRNA
UAUGUGAGAAUAAUACUUUUUAUUUGUUUGUUCAGUUGCACAUCUGAUUUUCCUCUUUACAAAUAUGUAGAUGAGUGUGUGUGUGUUUCUCCCUAAGGCAUGCAGUAAGCACGUGCGUCAUGCAGCUAUCUCUCUCUCAGCAGUAACUUACACCAAUGUCUCGCACGUCCACGUUCCAGCGUGUGCACGUUUCAGCUUUCUGAUAUAAAACCAUCUGGAGCCUGUGUCCAAACUAUUCAGGCUUCUGGGAUGCGUCGCAUUUACAGCACAAACAAUCGAUAACUGUCCCGAUCUAUACCGCCCUGAACACCUGCCGAGCAGCCGCAACACUCCACGCUGUCACGUUAACGUCUUUAGAUUUUAGAUCGAUUUGACAGAAACUCACAUUUUUUACCUUUUUAACCUUCAAACCAGAGACUUCCUCAGAACAUCGGCAUAGAAAACUGAUUUAGGGGCGGGGCUAUGGCUACGGAACUUGGUUUGUGAUGUCACAAAAUAAUCUCCAAUCACGUCCAUGUAUCCAAAUUACUGUACAAUGACCAGGUGAGCACAUCCUGUAGUGUAACGUUGGUGAUGGGUCGUCACGGUAACAUCGUGUGACUAACAGCUGUUCGAGAUGUCAGGAGGAUGUGCCGGCAUUCCAAAAUUAGAAUAUUGAUGGGUUGAAAAGGAAGAGGAAAUGAGUAAAUAAUAAAAAAAAAAGAGGAAAUGACUCAUCUGUUCGUGGUCAUUUCAAAGGCGGUAAAAAAAAUUCACGGUUUCAAAAAUGACACUUUCAGGAAAUAAAACCAACAAUGAAAAAUACUUUAGAUUCUGUAAUGUUUUCUUAAGUGUUUUUUAAAAAAAAAGAGGGGAAAAAAAAGCAAGCUUUAAAAGUCAGCGUUAAUCAGUGCAUGUCUAUGGGGGGCACAAACUUUUGCUGCAGUGUGUAUCCAGGACUGUAAUGCGUCGCUCUUCAGUUUGGUCUGGUUUAUCUUUAGCUCCAGAGUUCAACUCUGACCUCGUGAUGAUGAUGAUGUCGGCUUUUAAUUAAAGUUUUACCCGUCUGUAGGAAAAUAAGAGCCUCCUCCUGGCUGCAGAGAGAGAGAGAGAGAGAGAGAGUGUGUGUGUGUGUGAGAGAGACUCGACAGAGCUAUGAAGCUUCAGCACCGAACUCGAGUCUCGUUUUGUUUAGUGUUUUUUUUCUUUUCUUUAAAUCCUGUUAAAUAUGUACACAGACCAGAUUCUGCUCAUCCACAACCAUUAAAUAUGCAGAUUUCGCUCACAUUUAUAUUUAUAUUUAUAUACAAACACACACACACACAUUUCUGUACAACAGAAAAACACAAUCUAAUGAAACGAAAUGCGCCCAGAGUCGCCGUUUCCUCCAAACGCACUCGAGCAACAGAACACCUUUCCAUAUUUCAUCUUACACUGCGGCUACGAUGCUAACGUGGCUAACAAAUAACAGAAGCCUGUAGCCUCGGGUUUAGUGUUUUAAUCCCAGUCUCGACUCCAGUUUUAUUACCGAGUGCUUUACUUUGACUCCUCGCGGAAUUAUUCGUCCCCGUGAUUGAGUUUAUAGCCGUUUUCCUGUGUCACUAACCCCUAUUAAUCAUUUAAUUAUCAUCAUUCCCCUGUUUUAUUUUUACACACUGUGUAGGAUUUAUUUUUUUUAACCUAGUUCACUUUGUUAUGAAAACGGGAACAAAUGAAAUUGAGUCCCGACGACUUUAUUUUCCCCAAAAUCUACACCUGUAAAAAAAAAAAAAAAAACACAACAUAGGAGACACUGCAGUGGGUGGAGCCUCACACACAGGUGUAUCAUGCUAAACUGGAGGCCUUAAGUUUCCAUUACUUGUUAGCGUCAUUAGCUCCAAUGUCUCACACUGACCGAGUGCGUCUGAGGUAAAGAGGACGUGUUGUUAGAGUGUAGAAGAACAGUAGUGUCGUCAUGAGAUAAAAACGUUAAAGCAAUGAAAGAAGGACUGGUGUAACAGGAGGACGUGGCUGUGUUUCAUUUCACACACACACACACAGAGAGAGAGAGCGAGCGAGACGGGUCCACUUCUUUCCUCUUGUGUACAGAGUUUAUAAACACAUCAGUAACUGAAGCUGAGGAAGAGUGCAGUUUGUGAUCAGUCCAUGUUUAAUCCGGUCUGAGCUCCGUAACACUGCAUCGGAACAGACACCCGGUACGCAUCACCACCGCUAUCACCGUUACCAUGGCGUCGGGUUCCUCAGUAACCUUUCAUCAGAAAUCGUGGGUUCAGAAUUGAUCAAAGUAUCAUGAUGUACAGACAGUUACCAACACAUGACUACGUGUGUGUGCGUGUGAGAGCGUGGAGUGUGCAGUGCGUAUAUGUUUUAGUGAUCUAUGUGCUCUGUGUGUUUUGUGCGUGUGUGUUCAGGUCUUGUUGGCGGAUCCCGAGGAGCGGCGCAGCUUCAUGGACAUGCGGCUCUUGCUGGCUCGAGGAGAGAUGGGAGAUGAUGCAUCACCGGCGUCCAGCGGCACACUCGGGUUCUCACACGCCGGGUUCUCCAGGAAGGAACCUGGGAAACACAGCCAUGACAGCAUGAGACAAAGCUUCUGCGGUGACCAUGACGACAAGGGACCGUGGGGGGGAGGUGAGCAAGAGAAGUGAACAAACAGCAGGAGUAAAGAAGUGAAAUUGGGGGAUGAGAGGAGUAUUUCAGGAUCUGGAACCUCACACUGUGUCUAACCCUGAGAAGCUGGUGUGUGUGUGCACGCUCCGUGGGCUGCCUCUUUCUCUCGCCCUCUGGCAGGAAGACACUCGGCUGGAAACGGGAAAAGGCAAGUGCACAUCAGCAGGAGAGUGCAACACACACACACACAAAGACAAAAGCAUAAAUUAAUUGAGAUUAGAAUAAGAAACGUCAGCAAUUUCAAGUCUAGUCAGUGUGGAGUGAGACACGUCUGAGACACGUUCUAGUUAAACACAGCUUAAAAUUAAGGAGGAAAUGAACACAGCAGAGGAAGAAGUGGCUCUCAGAGGAGAAAUGUGUUCCAGUGUGAUUAAAGACAAAUGCAGUCUCUCUCUCUCUCUCUC